UGGGGAAUAUUGGACAAUGGGCGCAAGCCUGAUCCAGCAAUGCCGCGUGAGUGAUGAAGGCCUUAGGGUUGUAAAGCUCUUUCGCACGCGACGAUGAUGACGGUAGCGUGAGAAGAAGCCCCGGCUAACUUCGUGCCAGCAGCCGCGGUAAUACGAAGGGGGCUAGCGUUGUUCGGAAUUACUGGGCGUAAAGGGCGCGUAGGCGGCCUGUUUAGUCAGAAGUGAAAGCCCCGGGCUCAACCUGGGAAUAGCUUUUGAUACUGGCAGGCUUGAGUUCCGGAGAGGAUGGUGGAAUUCCCAGUGUAGAGGUGAAAUUCGUAGAUAUUGGGAAGAACACCGGUGGCGAAGGCGGCCAUCUGGACGGACACUGACGCUGAGGCGCGAAAGCGUGGGGAGCAAACAGGAUUAGAUACCCUGGUAGUCCGCGCCGUAAACGAUGAAUGCUAGACGUCGGGGUGCAUGCACUUUCGGUGUCGCCGCUAACGCAUUAAGCAUUCCGCCU
rnacentral:rRNA from 1 species